rfam:Lunatimonas lonarensis strain AK24 S14_contig_87, whole genome shotgun sequence.
GCAAUGAGUGGCCUUCCGCCUACGACUGUCAAGAGUAGUUGGCAAACCGCAUCAUGCUGCAUAGAUGGAAACAUUCCUUGUGGUGAACGGUGGUGUUAAAAACGGGGACAAAGAUUCCCGAAGGU